AGGGCGCCCUCGGCCCCCUCCCGGGAGCUGGGCGGUGAGGCCUGCAGAGCAGGACCUGCCAGCUGAGCGCCCCUACCCUCGCCCCUGCCCGCCCCCGCGCCUCGCCCCUCCCGCCGGGCUCGGAUCUGCCCCGCCUGCCCCUGACUCGACUGAGGCCCUUUGCAAACCACAGAAGUUCUCUAAAUGUCUGCGGUGGCAUCAUUGGACCAGCUACGUCUUGGACUUUAUUGGAAGCUGCCAAAUUGCUUUCCAAACACCUGGAGCAACUGACCUCUCACCCUUCAGUGUGCCUGGGUUUGUGGUUCUCUAUUUCCUGGCCAGCACUGGUGUCCUCAAACUUCUGAUUUUCUUUCCAUUUAUUUUACUUUGUUCAUCUAAAUGGGUAUGAAAUAAUAUCUCUGGGCUGUUUCAUGUCCAUGGAAAUUUCUCUGUUGUAAAUGUGUGGGCCAAAGGAACUGCACCUUGUCCUCAAGAGAUUCGGGUCGAAACCUUGGCUCCGGGGCCCACCAGCAGUAUGGCUUUGGGCAGUCACCUAAUGUCCCUGAGCUCAGUUUUCUCAUCUGUAAAAUGGAGAUGGCAGAGUUCCCAUAGGGUUACCGUGGGAAUUCAAAAGCUAGGCGCCCAGCACUCAGUAAGCGCUCGGGAAGUGGGAAGUAAUGUUAUUGGAAGCCAGCCCCCCAGGGAGGGUCAUGGAUUCCUGCAUGGAGACACCCAGCCCUCUGCCUGUUGAAAUAAACAUUGCCACCACUCGUA